UACGAAGGGUGCAAGCGUUACUCGGAAUUACUGGGCGUAAAGCGUGCGUAGGCGGUUUGUUAAGUCUGUCGUGAAAGCCCCGGGCUCAACCUGGGAAUGGCGAUGGAAACUGGCGAGCUAGAGUACGGUAGAGGAGAGUGGAAUUCCCGGUGUAGCAGUGAAAUGCGUAGAGAUCGGGAGGAACAUCAGUUGCGAAGGCGGCUCUCUGGACCAGUACUGACGCUGAGGCACGAAAGCGUGGGGAGCAAACAGGAUUAGAUACCCGUUAGUAGAUCCGA
rnacentral:rRNA from 1 species